CUUGUUCGUGCCUGAGCCUUCAGGUUGCUCAUACAUAACUGAAAACAUUUAAUUUAAGCAAGGAUGAGCAUUUGAGUGCCCAACAAGUAAUAACAAUUAUAUAUAUAAGCUGAAAGAAUAUAAGUAUUCUCUUUACAUAACACUUCUACAACGAAUCGAAAGUUGUGAAGUAAUCUGUACUGAUAAAAAAUUCACAUAACAACUCUCUUUCAAUUUCUUGAAAUUAGGCUCCACCCAUGAAUAGGGUUUAAGAAACAUACUAUGAACAUUCUUUUCAUUUUCGAAAAGGUUUAGCAGAAAUCCAUCCGCAAACAGUCAUAACUUACGGGCACGGAGGGUGAUCAGACCCGUUAUACCAUGUAUUGAUCAAUACUACAUAACUUGAACGAAAUUCAUCGCUCACUCUGUCCGCCUUGGGCGCAAAAAUUUUCCCAUAUAGGGAUGUUCAUACAUGCCUGGUUCCAAACCCGAAGGUUUUUAAUCUUGCUCAACAAUAAUAUGUAAUUCAACAUAUAUGUAUACGGGUAAUUGACAAAGGUAUAUCAACAUGUGAAUAAAUGCCAUGAUUAUCCAAGUGGGGACACUUGUAUAACCAUUUAGAAAUCAACUUAACAGAAUAUAUAUCUGAGCUAACAUGUUGAUAAUCAAAGCGUACAUAAUCUGUACAGGAAUAGAAUAAUUCUGAAACUUCUUACUC
rnacentral:lncRNA from 1 species